rnacentral:rRNA from 1 species
UCGAGCGAGUCUGCCUUGAAGAUCGGAGUGCUUGCACUCUGUGAAACAAGAUACAGGCUAGCGGCGGACGGGUGAGUAACACGUGGGUAACCUGCCCAAGAGAUCGGGAUAACACCUGGAAACAGAUGCUAAUACCGGAGUAANNNCAGAUGAUGCCUAUCAACUGUUUAAAAGAUGGUUCUGCUAUCACUCUUGGAUGGACCUGCGGUGCAUUAGCUAGUUGGUAGGGUAACGGCCUACCAAGGCGAUGAUGCAUAGCCGAGUUGAGAGACUGAUCGGCCACAUUGGGACUGAGACACGGCCCAAACUCCUACGGGAGGCAGCAGUAGGGAAUCUUCCACAAUGGACGCAAGUCUGAUGGAGCAACGCCGCGUGAGUGAAGAAGGGUUUCGGCUCGUAAAGCUCUGUUGUUGGUGAAGAAGGACAGGGGUAGUAACUGACCUUUGUUUGACGGUAAUCAAUUAGAAAGUCACGGCUAACUACGUGCCAGCAGCCGCGGUAAUACGUAGGUGGCAAGCGUUGUCCGGAUUUAUUGGGCGUAAAGCGAGUGCAGGCGGCUCGAUAAGUCUGAUGUGAAAGCCUUCGGCUCAACCGGAGAAUUGCAUCAGAAACUGUCGAGCUUGAGUACAGAAGAGGAGAGUGGAACUCCAUGUGUAGCGGUGAAAUGCGUAGAUAUAUGGAAGAA